GACGUAGGGUGCGAGCGUUGUCCGGAUUUAUUGGGCGUAAAGAGCUCGUAGGCGGCUCGUCGCGUCAGCUGUGAAAACCCGCAGCUUAACUGUGGGCUUGCAGCUGAUACGGGCGGGCUAGAGUUCGGUAGGGGAGACUGGAAUUCCUGGUGUAGCGGUGAAAUGCGCAGAUAUCAGGAGGAACACCGGUGGCGAAGGCGGGUCUCUGGGCCGAUACUGACGCUGAGGAGCGAAAGCGUGGGGAGCGAACAGG
rnacentral:rRNA from 1 species